rnacentral:rRNA from 1 species
UACGUAGGGGGCUAGCGUUGUCCGGAAUCAUUGGGCGUAAAGCGCGCGUAGGCGGCCAGAUAAGUCCGGUGUGAAAGUCACAGGCUCAACCUGUGAAUGCCGCUGGAAACUGUCUGGCUUGAGUCCGGAAGGGGCGAGUGGAAUUCCACGUGUAGCGGUGAAAUGCGUAGAGAUGUGGAGGAACACCAGUGGCGAAGGCGACUCUUUGGCCUGUAACUGACACUGAGGCGCGAAAGCGUGGGGAGCAAACAGG